AUUGAACGCUGGCGGCAUGCCUUACACACGCAAGUCGAACGGCAGCGGGGGAGAAGCUUGCUUUUCCUGCCGGCGAGUGGCGAACGGGUGAGUAAUACAUCGGAACGUGCCCUGUAGUGGGGGAUAACUAGUCGAAAGAUUAGCUAAUACCGCAUACGACCUGAGGGUGAAAGUGGGGGACCGCAAGGCCUCAUGCUAUAGGAGCGGCCGAUGUCUGAUUAGCUAGUUGGUGGGGUAAAGGCCUACCAAGGCGACGAUCAGUAGCUGGUCUGGGAGGACGAUAAGCCAAACUGGGACUGAGACACGGCCCAGACUCCUACGGGAGGCAGCAGUGGGGAAUUUUGGACAAUGGGCGAAAGCCUGAUCCAGCAAUGCCGCGUGUGUGAAGAAGGCCUUCGGGUUGUAAAGCACUUUUGUCCGGAAAGAAAUGGCUCUGGUUAAUACCUGGGGUCGAUGACGGUACCGGAAGAAUAAGGACCGGCUAACUACGUGCCAGCCGCCGCAGUAA
rnacentral:rRNA from 1 species